rnacentral:rRNA from 1 species
CCAUGAAGUUGGAUUCGCUAGUAAUCGCGCAUCAGCCAUGGCGCGGUGAAUACGUUCCCGGGCCUUGUACACACCGCCCGUCAAGCCAUGGGAGCCGGGGGUGCCUGAAGUUCGUGACCGCAAGGAGCGACCUAGGGCAAAACUGGUGACUGGGGCUAAGUCGUAACAAGGUAUC